rnacentral:misc_RNA from 1 species
AACGCAAAUUGCGCUCUUGGGUAGCCCUAGGAGCACGCCUCUCUCAGUAUCGGUUCAACAACCUCUCAGCAGCGUAUGCGCAAGUAUACGUGUUGGCUGGAUAAUGAGAGUCUAGUCCUCACAGACUAGUCUCUUGAAAUACAUUGAGUGAGCAUCACAUUUUACACUUUCUUUAAUGAAAAGCUGGUCUCUGACUGGUUGUGUAUAAGUGACGUGAAUACUGAGCCUUGUGCUCUAUCGUUUACGUGUAACUUAUGCAUAACUAUUAAGGUCUAGGAUUGGUGUGUAAAAUACUGCUCAUGUAACGCGGCGCAAGCUGCAAUCGAUUUCAAUUUAUUGAAGUCUGUAUAUUGAUCUGAGAUGAAGCGAGACAACCCCCUGAAUUUAA